UGGGGAAUCUUGGACAAUGGGCGCAAGCCUGAUCCAGCCAUGCCGCGUGGAUGAUGAAGGCCCUAGGGUUGUAAAAUCCUUUCGUCAGGGACGAUAAUGACGGUACCUGAAGAAGAAGCCCCGGCUAACUUCGUGCCAGCAGCCGCGGUAAUACGAAGGGGGCUAGCGUUGUUCGGAAUUACUGGGCGUAAAGCGCAUGUAGGCGGGUCGUUAAGUCGGGGGUGAAAGCCCAGAGCUCAACUCUGGAACUGCCUUCGAUACUGGCGACCUGGACCCAAGGAGAGGCGAGUGGAAUUGCGAGUGUAGAGGUGAAAUUCGUAGAUAUUCGCAGGAACACCAGUGGCGAAGGCGACUCGCUGGACUUGUGGUGACGCUGAGAUGCGAAAGCGUGGGGAGCAAACAGGAUUAGAUACCCGGGUAGUCCCUGAGCGGGCUGGCAAGGCGCAU
rnacentral:rRNA from 1 species